UACAGAGGGUGCGAGCGUUAAUCGGAAUUACUGGGCGUAAAGCGUGCGCAGACGGUCAUGUAAGUCGGGUGUGAAAGCCCCGGGCUCAACCUGGGAAUUGCAUUCGAGACUGCAUGGCUAGGGUGCGGAAGAGGGAAGCGGAAUUUCCGGUGUAGCGGUGAAAUGCGUAGAUAUCGGAAGGAACACCAGUGGCGGAAAGCGGCUUCCUGGUCCAGCACCGACGUCAGGCACGAAAGCGUGGGGAGCAAACAGGG
rnacentral:rRNA from 1 species